rnacentral:rRNA from 1 species
CCCUUAGAUGGUCUGGGCGGCACGCGCGCUACAAUGAUGCAUUCAAAAAGUCUUCUGACCUUAGAAGGUUGGGUAUUCUCCAAAGUGCAUCGUGAUGGGAAUAGUUUAUUGCAAUUUUUAAUCUUGAACGAGGAAUUCCUAGUAAGUACAGGUCAUCAACUUGUGUUGAUUACGUCCCUGCCCUUUGUACACACCGCCCGUCGCUCCUACUGAUUGAGUGCCUCGGUGAAUUCUUUGAUCUUCUGUCGAUUCAGUUCACUGAUCCGACGGUGGAAAGUUGAAUGAACUUCGUCACUUAGAGGAAGGAGAAGUCGUAACA